rnacentral:rRNA from 1 species
GUGGGGAAUAUUGGACAAUGGGCGAAAGCCUGAUCCAGCCAUGCCGCGUGUGUGAAGAAGGUCUUCGGAUUGUAAAGCACUUUAAGUUGGGAGGAAGGGUAGUAACCUAAUACGUUGCUACUUUGACGUUACCGACAGAAUAAGCACCGGCUAACUUCGUGCCAGCAGCCGCGGUAAUACGAAGGGUGCAAGCGUUAAUCGGAAUUACUGGGCGUAAAGCGCGCGUAGGUGGUUCAGUAAGUUGGAAGUGAAAUCCCCGGGCUCAACCUGGGAACUGCUUUCAAAACUGCUGAGCUGGAGUACGGUAGAGGGUGGUGGAAUUUCCUGUGUAGCGGUGAAAUGCGUAGAUAUAGGAAGGAACACCAGUGGCGAAGGCGACCACCUAGACUGAUACUGACACUGAGGUGCGAAAGCGUGGGGAGCAAACAGGAUUAGAAACCCCGGUAGUCC